rnacentral:lncRNA from 1 species
AAUCAAAAGCUUACCAUAGAAUGUGAUUUGACCGUGAAUUUGUCGAUUCUCCAAUAGUUGGGGUUUGCUCGCCUUUGACAAACAAAAAGAUUUGAGCGUUAAAAAUCGAGCUCCGGUUCGAAUGGUUCUUCAAGCAAUAACUUUGAAAUGCUACAGGAUACGAUUUUUUUGGUUUAAGGGAUCUGGGAGAGUGAAUGAAAGAUUCUAGUUAGGGAUUUAAGAGUUGAGAGGGAAAAUUUUAGAUCAGAGAGGGAAGAUGAAAGUUUUGUACAUGGUUUUCUUCUUUAUCUUAAGAGAAAACGGUGUUGUAUUCUCUUUAUAACAUGGGAAAUAAUAAAAAGUUCAGCAGUGCUAAAUAGUUAAAACGCCGAGAAAAGGCCGAGAGAAAUUACAUUUGUGUUGUCGUUUCGCUUCUCUCCCACUCUCAACAUUAUAAACUUUUUUUUUAAUUAAAAAAAAAAGCCAGAUCAUCCUUAUUGUCCCUCUGUCUCGAGCUUCUCUUAUCCUUACUCUCUCACGACUGCAGAUCGUUCUCACUCUCUCUGUCCCGACUUCUCUUAUCCUCACUGUCUCAUGACUGCAGAUUAUCCUCGCCCUCUCUCUGCCUCAACUUCUCUUAUCCUUACUCUCUCCAGUCUUCCUCACUCUCUCCAGAUCGUCGUUCCCCAUCACGCUUCCUCAUUCUCUGCGGCCUCACUCUCCGCGCCCGUUGGCUGUUUAUGGUUAGUGAUUAAUGUUUGUUUUUAAUUUUUUUGAAAAUUAAUUUUGUAAGUCAUUGUACUGCCGUUUAGAGUAUUAAUUGCAAUACAAACCAAAAAUCCGCCUGUUUAUGGAUUAAUUUUGUAAAUUUUGGUGGUAAUUAUUUGACGAUAAAGAUGAAUCUUUUGUUUGGAAUAUUAAUUGUGUGAGAAUUGCUGGAUUUUUAAUUUGGAGUCUUAAUUGUGUGAAAAUUAUUAUGGAAAUUGUUGGAUUUUUCAUUUGAAGUCUUAAUUGUGUGAAAAUUGUUGUGGAAAUUGCUGGAUUUUUCGUUAGAUAUAUUAAUUGUGUGAAAAUUGCUACAAAAAUUACUAGAUUUUGAUUCAAUGUGAUGUAGAAAUAUGAGUCGGGUGAAAAUUUUAUUGAUCUGUUAAGAAAAUGUCUAAUUUAAGCUGGGGUCAUUGCUGUGAAUAUGUAGGUCUGAAUUUGGUAUUCCAUAUGUAGAAAUUUUGGUCUUUAACGUUUUGUAUGGGGAGUAGUUCUAGGGAUAGAUGAACGCAAAUGAAGAUAUUUAGUGCAGUUGGCAAUGACCCCGGAAAAAGAUAUUCUCUUGAUCUCUUCUUAACUUUUUAAGAUCUCCUGCUAUGUGUAUUUU